UUGAGCCGUGUGCGGGGAAACUUGCACGCACGGUUCUUAGGGGAGGAUGAAUCGGCAACGGUUUGUUCUUACCCGAC
rnacentral:ncRNA from 1 species